UGCAGAUGAUGUAAAGAAUAUUUGCUAUCUUAUCUGUUGUGCUGACAACCAAUCACCAAGAUCGCUGAUGCA
ensembl:snoRNA SNORD24 Small nucleolar RNA SNORD24